UAGUCCACGCCCUAAACGAUGUUCACUCGAUAUUUGCGAUAAACAGUAAGUGUCCAAGCGAAAGCGUUAAGUGAACCACCUGGGGAGUACGAUCGCAAGGUUGAAACUCAAAGGAAUUGACGGGGGUCCGCACAAGCGGUGGAGUAUGUGGUUUAAUUCGAUGAUACGCGAGGAACCUUACCUGGACUUAAAUGUAGAUUGCAUAGAGUGGAGACAUUCUUUUCUUCGGACUAUUUACAAGGUGCUGCAUGGUUGUCGUCAGCUCGUGCCGUGAGGUGUCGGGUUAAGUCCCAUAACGAGCGCAACCCUUAUCCUUAGUUGCCAGCGGAUCAUGCCGGGGACUCUGAGGAGACUGCCACCGUAAGGUGUGAGGAAGGUGGGGAUGACGUCAAAUCAGCACGGCCCUUAUGUCCAGGGCUACACACGUGUUACAAUGGACGGUACAAAGGGCAGCUACCUGGUGACAGGAUGCUAAUCUCUAAAGCCGUUCUCAGUUCGGAUCGAAGU
rnacentral:rRNA from 1 species